AGAUCGAUUCACAGAAGCUUCCGCGAGUUCAUCGCCGUCGGAGGAGGAGGCACCGGGGUGGGGCAGCGGCGGUCGGUGAUUUGAGAGCGCGCAUAGAGAUAGAGAGAGAUCGGCUCUCGGAAGCUUCUGCGAGUUCACCGCUGUCGAAGAAGGAGGGGGCGCCAGAGUGGGGCUGCGGCCGUCGUUCACCGAUCCGUCGUCCCGGCCGCCGUCGGAGGAGAAGGACAUGAAGUAGACGAUAAGAGAGAGAGAAUAAAGAGCGCGAUCGAUAGCUUCGCCAUCCAUCCCCAUCGACAACUCAACAAGGACGUGAGCUCCUCUCCAUCUCUCUCUCCAUAAACCCUACUCCUCGCCUCCUUUUCACGAUCUCACCAUUUUCCACAAAACACGAUCUUGCUUUGUGGGUUAUAUAUCAAUUGUUAUCCUAUACGAUCUAUUUUAAGGAAAGAUCCCAUAUGGCGUAAUAAGCGAGGGAGGAGUGCCGCUUUCUCUUUCGCAGCCGCUGGAGAGAGCUUGACGCAGUGAUGGAGGGAGAGGCCGCCGCCGUGCCCAUCGUCUCCAUGAGCACCAGCGACGUGACCAACAACCCCAACACCGGCAUGUCCCAAGAGGAGUGCAAAGAUAGGAUCCGCAAGAGCCUUAAACCCAUCUUGGAUUGGACGCCGGUGUGAAACCCGACGAAGUGCCGGAGGAGACUGUACAGGCGGUAGCUGAAGUUCUAAGGAGGUCUUCUUCCCUCUGAGUCUCAGAAGAUGGCUUUCUCAACUUUGGUGAAGGAAGCAGUAUUUUGUUUCAUGAAGUUCAGGUUCUGUAACGACAAAAUUGAAGAAUUAACAAAUCCACGUAUGAUUGGUCCAUAUCAACCCCAAAAAGCAGUAAGCACAUCAUUAGUCUGCAUCAAUCCUAGCACAUGACUGAUAUGAUAAUUAUAUCGGCAAAAAGACCGUUGCUUGGUUCUUUUUAUUUUAUUUUUCUCCAAAGUAAUAAGUCACCCUGUUGCAUCAAAUUUUGUUAUGUAAGGUCAGUUGAUUAAGCUGCUUCUGUUUUAAACUUUUAUAUACUUUCUUUUUUCCUACCUUUUAAAGAAUGAAUGUCUUUGGGAAGUAACCUAGGGCUUACUGAUUAGUAAGGAAACAGCCUGGAAGUAAAUAUAUAAUAUUUGCCGGACGUGCUAUGUGGUUCUUUCUUGAGCCAGAUAACAUACGGGGAGGGAUGAUGAGAGCCAGGUAUGACUCGUGGAUCUUUGGUAUCAAUGUCCGAUCUGAUCAGGAUAGUUUCUUUAUAUGGAGGAAGAUUUACUCUCGAGCCCAAGAAGUGAUGGUCCAGAUUAGAUUGUUGAUUAGCGAUAAAUAAAUAGUUGACUUCUCUUGAGAUCCAUGGAUUGUUGAACUUCGGUUGGUCAGAUGGCCGACUCGAUGCGGGUCUAUGACCUGCACCAACCAAAGGGAAGGGGCUGCAAUGUUGGUCUAGUAUCUAGACUUUUUUUGGAUUUCCUCUAACUGAUGGGGGAUUGUCCCUUGCACUUCCUAUACAUAGAGGCUGGGAUGUUAGAGUCUAGGAUCAACCUAUACACACAGGGUGGCGACCAGAGACCUUUAUGAUUUGUAUAGAGAGGUGCCGGCCAGCAGAUUAGAUGGGGCCUAGAUCUGGAGGCUUCAUU